rnacentral:lncRNA from 1 species
GUCCUUUUCACUCGGUUGUCCUUCACCGAACCCCUGGAUCAGGAGGCGACACUGUCGAGUGGUAUGCUUCGGAUAAAUGGGGUUGCCCUCUUCAUCCAUCUUCGUAUGAACCGGACAUGGCUGGUCCAGGAUGGGAUUAUUGAACUGCUUCUUCUUGGGGGUGAACUGACCCUUUGCCCUUGAACUUGGCAUUGGUUACGGCUGCAGCUUCUGCCUGCGG